rnacentral:rRNA from 1 species
AUGGAGCCGACCUUGAAAUACCACCCUUUAAUGUUUGAUGUUCUAACGUUGACCCGUAAUCCGGGUUGCGGACAGUGUCUGGUGGGUAGUUUGACUGGGGCGGUCUCCUCCUAAAGAGUAACGGAGGAGCACGAAGGUUGGCUAAUCCUGGUCGGACAUCAGGAGGUUAGUGCAAUGGCAUAAGCCAGCUUGACUGCGAGCGUGACGGCGCGAGCAGGUGCGAAAGCAGGUCAUAGUGAUCCGGUGGUUCUGAAUGGAAGGGCCAUCGCUCAACGGAUAAAAGGUACUCCGGGGAUAACAGGCUGAUACCGCCCAAGAGUUCAUAUCGACGGCGGUGUUUGGCACCUCGAUGUCGGCUCAUCACAUCCUGGGGCUGAAGUAGGUCCCAAGGGUAUGGCUGUUCGCCAUUUAAAGUGGUACGCGAGCUGGGUUUAGAACGUCGUGAGACAGUUCGGUCCCUAUCUGCCGUGGGCGCUGGAGAACUGAGGGGGGCUGCUCCUAGUACGAGAGGACCGGAGUGGACGCAUCACUGGUGUUCGGGUUGUCAUGCCAAUGGCACUGCCCGGUAGCUAAAUGCGGAAGAGAUAAGUGCUGAAAGCAUCUAAGCACGAAACUUGCCCCGAGAUGAGUUCUCCCUGACCCUUUAAGGGUCCUGAAGGAACGUUGAAGACGACGACGUUGAUAGGCCGGGUGUGUAAGCGC